CACGUAGGGGGCGAGCGUUGUCCGGAUUCAUUGGGCGUAAAGGGCGCGCAGGCGGCUCGGAAAGUCGGGUGUGAAAACUCGGGGCUCAACCCCGGGCGUGCAUCCGAUACUGCCGGGCUUGAGGCAGGUAGGGGAGAUCGGAAUUCCUGGUGUAGCGGUGAAAUGCGCAGAUAUCAGGAGGAACACCGGUGGCGAAGGCGGAUCUCUGGGCCUGUCCUGACGCUGAGGCGCGAAAGCUAGGGGAGCAAACGGG
rnacentral:rRNA from 1 species